rnacentral:rRNA from 1 species
GACAGAGGGUGCAAACGUUGUUCGGAAUUACUGGGCGUAAAGCGAGUGUAGGCGGUCUCAUAAGUCGGGUGUGAAAGCCCUGGGCUCAACCCAGGAAGUGCACUCGAAACUGCGAGGCUAGAGUAUCGGAGAGGUUGGUGGAAUUCUCGGUGUAGAGGUGAAAUUCGUAGAUAUCGAGAGGAACACCGGUGGCGAAGGCGGCCAACUGGACGAAUACUGACGCUGAGGUUCGAAAGCUCGGGGAGCAAACAGG